UACAGAAGGCGGGCGUUGAGGGGUGGGUGAAACUCUGGAAGCUGUCCUCUCCUUUCCCUUCCUGGGUUCCAUCAGGUAGGGAGGAGGUGACCCUGUGUCUGCAUGAAUACUUGUGUGGGGGAUGAGGGAAUUGUAUACAAAGUCACUUCAGUUCAUCUCGGUCUCCUGCCAAUCAGCAUUUUUCUGCUUCCAAUCUGGUGGCCAGCAUCUAAUGCCUUCCCGCCUCCCGCUUUGGGCUGCUGGUGGCUGUGGAUUUGGCUUGCAUCCUAGCUCCUAAACAUAGUAGAUGGCCUCUCUGGGGCCACCUCCCCGUGAAGGGCCCCUAUCUAAAAGAGGUAGAAUGUAGAGGACACAGUGAUGGACUUGACAUAGGUGUGAAGCCACCAGUGGGGAAGGGAAAGCGGGCCCCAGAGCCCUAAGUCUGCGUGGGUCAGCUAGAGCACAAACGAGUGGCAUCCAAAGCCGGUGGCCACUUAGCAAGAACGUCCAGGGCUGGGCUGCCGUGCCCUUGGGCCUCGAGCUCUUCCCAUGUCCCAGGUGAUUCAGCCCCUGCCCAGGCGAGAUCUGCCAUGACUGCGUCAGCCAAAGGACCCAGCCUUUCUUCGCCUCCUCCCUUCCUGCCCGGCUGCCAGGCCCUGCAGCUGAUCUCGCCUGCAAACGAGUUUGACUUGAAGGGUGCCUGGCCCCAGACACACCAAGUGUUCUUAUGCCAUCUAGACCCUGCACAAGAUAUUCCCUUGGUGGCAACCUCCCACCCAUUCUCGACCACAACACUGGUUCCUUCAUGAACUUCCCCUUGGCCUAGAACUUGAGGGCCAAGACCUUAGAGGAUGCUGGCUGCCCCCUGCUGGGCCUGAGCUUGGCCCAGGCCCUCUCUACUCUCAGUUUCUCUUGUGGCUUGGCCCCCGCAUCCACCUCCGAGGUUGGCCAGCCACCCAGGCUCUGGCAGAGUCCUGCUGAAGACCCCCAGAUGGAGUAACCUCCUCACUGACAAGCAGCCCUCCCAGGCCCUGCUAUGAGGGGGCCCGCCCUGCCAUCUCAUCCUCCUAAGCUUUUCAACCAGUUUCUACUUGCUGGGUGACCCAGCCAGCUCCAAGCAGGGAACAGAGAGCUGCUGGCUGGGGUCCCCCUUGAUGGAAACUCACAUCUUCUCAGCACAGAGGAAAGGGGCAGGCCCUCAUCAGAAUGGAUCAGAGCAGCCCGGAUGGGGGGUGUGCACCUGGCCCUUGUCCACUCCACUUGGCCCCAGUCACCUGUACUUGGGGAUGGUGAACUCAACCCAAUGGCUCUAGGCUCCCUGGCAUUGUGUGCUCCAUCCCUCCCCUUCCUCCCCCACCCGCCCCCUUGAGACCAGCACAGUCUCUAGA